AUGAACGGGUGGGCUUUAGUGCAUGUAGACAGUGGUGCUCUGCACUGAUCUCAUAAGGAAACACAUGAUUGUUUGUUUGUUUUUUCCCAUUGGCCAGUUCAGUAGAGUGACUGCUGAAGGACCCAAUUGUGCCACAAUGCCAGAGGGAGGCAAGAAAGGGAUUAGGGGGCACCCAAAGGGUACUCUGGUUGUUCUCCUAAGGCAUGGAAAUGGACAGAAAUGAGGGGAGGAAGAAUAGAGAGAGGGAUAAAGAGAGUGAUUGAAAGAGGUGAUCCAGCAUCUGCGUGGAUGUGGGGGGGACGAGUCCGCCACCCUGGGGGAGUUGCUCCGCUGGCGCAGGGCGCUGUGUGAGGGGCGGGCCGACUGGAGGCACCAACGGGAUGUCAACGGAACACCACAAACCCCACCCACCACACUGGUCAGGGCUAAUAGGAAGUCUUCUCCAUAGUGGGAGGAUGUCCAACCUGAAAUUCCCACUCUCCACGCCUCACACUGCCUUUCUUGUCUGCCUCCUGCCACGCCCUCCUGCCCUUGUCUGCCACCCCAUUCGGCAAAGGACAGGUCUGAGAGAGAGGCAUUUCAUUGGCUAGGACCGCCCAACCCACAAGAGCAUUAACAGAUAAAGGAGGGAGAAAGGGAAUAGAGCAGCAAUCAGGAUCCAUUUAAUUCUCUCUCUCUCUCUCUCUCUCUCUCUCUCUCUCUCUCUCUCUCUCUCUCUCUCUCUCUCUCUCUCUCUCUCUCUCUCUCUCUCUCUCUCUCUCUCUCUCUCUCUCUCUCUCUCUCUCUCUCUCUCUCAAGCUGGAUGUAGGCUAACAGAGGAGAGGACUGUACAUACAAUAGUUGCUAUGUGGAAUGAGGUUUGCCUAUGUGUUUUCUGUCUGUAGUAAAUCUGGUGCACGUUCUCUCUCUAUCAAAGCCUACCAUGCUGUUACUGCUUACGCAACAUCUCCCAGCCCAAACCCCAAAACAUGGUGCUGAUGUCACUCUGUGUGAUGUCAUAUGUGUCAGGUGUGUGAUGCACACUAGGAUGAAGCUGCCCCGGUCUAGACACUGAUCCAGGGUCUGUUUUUGUCUUUCCCCUCUGACGCUCAUGGGGAAGGUAAGUUGAUCCUAGAUCUGUGCCUAUGGGCACAACAGAACAUGUGUGUACCCUCCCCUCCAGACAUGUCUGAAGUUUACAAGCGAGCCAAGGCCUUUAAACAUCUCCUCUGUUGAACCUCACUGCUCUGGCUUACAGACCAGUUAUCAUCUCUAGGACCAGGAGGUUUUCCUUACCAUGUGAUCUGACCAGGGAAAACUCCUGUCUCUAGUCUUCUGGACUCCUUCAGGUAUCAGCUACCGCUUUAGCCUCACGCUACAAGGUGCUUUUGGUGCUUCUGUAACCCUGGCAACAAUAGCUCAGAGUUCAGGGGUCAGGGAAACCUCAGCGAUAUCCCAUGGUGCACUUGUUUCAUCCCCAGCUAGCCAACGGCCUUUCGCUUUAGAGCAAACUGAACAGAACAUCCACAACAGUAAAAAAACAAAACACUGUACAGAUAUUACUGACUAGGCAAGACAAUAGCAGGGCUGUAUUUUACAACGAUGGCCAUAGUAGCUAGUUCAUGUAGCUAGAUCACCUGUGAUCAGACUGUAUCAAUGUCCUGUAAGGUUUUUACUGGGCUUAGUGCCAUACAACGUGACUCUAGGCCAGUCAACCUCAGCUAUGGCUGAUGUAUUUUACUGAUGUGUUUGUGUAGAGCACACAAACAGACUGAAUAAAGAACAGUGUAGAUGACCAAUGCACAACUAUCUGUCGCAGUCCCUCAAUUAACUACUUAUCUAGAUUUAUUCUACAAACAUCUCAGAGAAAUAAGCUCUAAACCACAAUGGUACUUUCUUCAUAUUAGCGUCUCAUUUGAUAUGUUCUAUCUUGUGUAAAUCAAUGUUAGGAGCCUGUACACUUUUCUGUACAAUUCAAGGAUGCAACUGGAGCACAACAGAGUUCUCAUGCAGU
rnacentral:lncRNA from 1 species